rnacentral:rRNA from 1 species
UGAGUAACCUGCCCAGUCUUUGGGAUAACCCUCGGAAACGGGGGCUAAUACCGGAUAUGACACAUGGCUGCAUGGUUGUGUGUGGAAAGUUUUUCGGUCUGGGAUGGGCUCGCGGCCUAUCAGCUUGUUGGUGGGGUGAUGGCCUACCAAGGCGACGACGGGUAGCCGGCCUGAGAGGGCGACCGGCCACACUGGGACUGAGACACGGCCCAGACUCCUACGGGAGCAG